GUCGAACGCUGGCGGCGUGCUUAACACAUGCAAGUCGAACGGAAAGGGCCUGCGUGGUCCUCGAGUGGCCAACGGGUGAGUAACACGUGGCUGGUCUUCUCUGCACUUUUGGAUAAUCCUGUGAAGCUGCGGCUAAUACCAAAUAGGACCACGCGCGGCAUGGAGUGGGGGGUCAUGCUUUUGCGGGGUAGGAUGGGCCCGGGGCCUAUGCGCUUGUUUUGGGGGUACUGGCCCCUCAAGACGAAGCGGGGUAGCCGGCAUGAGAGGGUGACCGGCCACAAUGGGACUGCGAUACGGAGCAGACGGCAACGGGAGGCAGCAGUGGGGAAUAUUGCCCAAUGGGGGCACGCGUGAUGAAGAGAUGCCGGGUGAGGGAUGAAGGCCUUCGGGUUGUAAACCUCAUUAAGUAAGGACGAAGCGCAAGUGACGGUACCUAUAGAAGAAGCACCGGCUAACUACGUG
rnacentral:rRNA from 1 species